GCAGUGGUGGUUCAGUGGUAGAAUUCUUAUCUUUCAUGCAGGAGACCUGGGUUCAAUUUCCAGCCAAUGCA
rnacentral:tRNA from 1 species